UUUCUUCUUUCUUCUUUCUUUCUUUCUUUCUUCUUUCUUUCACAGACAAAGAGACUGAGGUUCUCUGAGAGUAGCAUGUUGUAAAGGAUUUUGGUGACAGGAGGGCCAACCCAGGCACGAGACAAAGGCAUAAAAUUAGGGGAAAUAUGAAGUAUGACAGAAAGAAAGGAAAGAAUGUUUUCAAGAGAUAAUGCUAGCAAAGUACAAACAGGACCACACUGAUGAAUUCAGGGCCCCUGCAUGCUCCAUGCCCCAGACUGAGGAACCCAGGCAGGUCAGGUUUCACAGAGGAUGGUGAGUAUGGAGAGUGGACAGCAGAGGGAGCCCUAGACGGGUUUUGCUCCAGACUGGAGUUCGGAGAAUGAGAAAGUGACAGGUCCCUCAUGCUAUCUCACCAUGAGCUCUUGCUUUUCUUCGCUCAGGACCCAGCUAGCGCUUCCCUAACAGAAAAACAGGCCUUGGGAAGUGCUGCCUGACUCCCAAGCCUCAGAGGGAUUGGGUCACGGCCCCCAUUCCAGUUACACAACUAAGAUGCCAAAAUGGAACCAAGUCCCCAGGAACUCAGCUGGUGGAAGAUGAGGAGACAGCAGGUAAGACAGUUAUGCCAAUGCCCUCAGAACCACGGACAUCGUGGCAUCCUGGAAUCGUAAUGCUGGAGGUGAACUUAGAGGCUGUCUCCUCCAACCCCAUCAUUUUCAAGAGUAGGAGAUGAAGACCCAGAGAAGUGAAGUGACCUGUCACCGUCAUACAGCCGGAUGACAACAGAGCCAAAAGCCUUAAUCGGGGCUCUUUCCAUGACGAGAACCCGGGAUCAGAUCCGCAACAGGCUUUGGUGGAGUUCAGCAUCGUUUUGGCCACAGAUUUGCAGAUGAGCGAUUCAUUACUGCCCGGGGGCUGAGACACUCUAGAGGCCCUUGGUUCGACAUAUCUGUUCCUCUGAAAGAAGUAGUCUCUAUUCAGGUCA